CCAGACUCCUACGGGAGGCAGCAGUGGGGGAUAUUGCACAAUGGGGGGAACCCUGAUGCAGCGACGCCGCGUGGGUGAAGAAGCGCCUCGGCGCGUAAAGCCCUGUCAGCAGGGAAGAAAAUGACGGUACCUGAAGAAGAAGCCCCGGCUAACUACGUGCCAGCAGCCGCGGUAAUACGUAGGGGGCAAGCGUUAUCCGGAUUUACUGGGCGUAAAGGGAGCGUAGGCGGCCUGCCAAGUCUGAUGUGAAAUACCGGGGCUCAACCCCGGGGCUGCAUUGGAAACUGGCAGGCUGGAGUGCCGGAGAGGCAGGCGGAAUUCCUAGUGUAGCGGUGAAAUGCGUAGAUAUUAGGAGGAACACCAGUGGCGAAGGCGGCCUGCUGGACGGUGACUGACGCUGAGGCUCGAAAGCGUGGGGAGCAAACAGGAUUAGAUACCCGAGUA
rnacentral:rRNA from 1 species